CUAUGUUUUUCCUUUUGGCUCAGAUCACAGGAAGUAUCUGUUCUUAUCAGUUUAAUCCUUUGUUUCGGGGGACUACAUAUUAAAUGGAUUUUGGUGCAACAGGGAGUCGGGAAAUGGGGUUGCUGACCUCCGCUCCACGCAUUGACCCGGUAUUGCAGUCUUCAAUAUGAACUGGUGCAACACUU